UUUUUCGUAGCUUUCUGCACUGUCUACAGAGAUUGUAUCAUCCAUUGUCCUUGAUCUAGUAGAUCUCUUGAAUCCAGUACCAUUAUCUUUUAUUGUAAUGAUAACCAUGUUGUUUGAAAGGCGACUUGUUGAUUUAGAUGGGUUGAAAGGCGAAAUGUUAGAGUUACUUAGUUUCUCUAGCUUGUUAUUGAACUGAGUUCUGGAGUCAAAGUCAGAAUCAUUGAAAGAGAAUCCCAGACUCGCUGCUUCCCCGUUUAAGACUCUCUGUAGGUCUUCCACUAGAGGUGUUACUGUUAUUGACCUUCUUAGCUGGUUCCCGACACGAAUAAACCUUAAAAUUUUGGGCUCAGUAAAUCUACCGGAAAUCCUUUCAAAAGAAAUAGUUUCAGAAGCACCUCCAACCUCUGAAUCUUUGUUUUCUGAGUAUUCACCACCAGCGCAAACUUUUACGGUCCUGGAAAAGUCUGAAACUGUAUUCCUGCAAUUUGUCUUGGCUUCGUACACUGUUGUAUCAUUGCUGUGAGCAAAUUGACCAGCUGUACCAGAUACUGUUGUGGAAAGCACGCUUGAAUUUAAGGCAUCAUUAGAACUCGUCAGUUCGCCAUUCUUAUACUUUAGAGACUGGUGUGUAUAGUAAACAUCUGAGAAAGGAAUAUGUUCAGAUUCUUGAUUAUUGCCGUUCUCCGACGUAUUACUUAUAGAUGAGGUAUAUUUUGCAUUAUCUCUUGCCCACAUUCUUAAUCUCUCUUGUUGCAAAACUGCCACAUUUAGUUGGCUUAAGUAAUUAUCUUCAGUGUCCCUCUCGUA
rnacentral:antisense_RNA from 1 species